UCCAGACUCCUACGGGAGGCAGCAGUGAGGAAUAUUGGUCAAUGGGCGCGAGCCUGAACCAGCCAAGUCGCGUGAGGGAAGACGGUCCUACGGAUUGUAAACCUCUUUUGCCGGGGAGCAACGGGGUCCUUGCGAGGGCCCGAUGAGAGUACCCGGAGAAAAAGCAUCGGCUAACUCCGUGCCAGCAGCCGCGGUAAUACGUAGGGAGCAAGCGUUAUCCGGAUUUAUUGGGUGUAAAGGGUGCGUAGACGGGAAGGCAAGUUGGUUGUGAAAUCCCUCGGCUUAACUGAGGAACUGCAACCAAAACUAUCUUUCUUGAGUGCUGGAGAGGAAAGUGGAAUUCCUAGUGUAGCGGUGAAAUGCGUAGAUAUUAGGAGGAACACCAGUGGCGAAGGCGACUUUCUGGACAGUAACUGACGUUGAGGCACGAAAGUGUGGGGAGCAAACAGGAUUAGAUACCCUAGUACGG
rnacentral:rRNA from 1 species